GUUUUGAGAUACAGUUCUGGGCCUAGUGUUUGAGAGAUACAGUUCUGGGCCUAGUGUUUGAGAGACACAGUUCUGGGUCUAGUGUUUGAGAGACACAGUUCUGGGCCUAGUGCUCACAUCAAUCAAUAAGUCACCAUGUGUGUCUGAUAAAUUAACAGCUUUAAUGGCAGAGGCUUUGCAGUGAGUGAUGCAUUCUAGUCAAGUGAUGUGUGUGUAUGAUUGUGUGCAUGAAUGUGUGUGUAGGGGGUUGUAUCGCAGGCAGGCACACACACACACACACACACACACACACAAACUUAAUCAAACAACGUUUAGAGCAAUCCCUCAGACUGUAACUGUAAGGUUCCAGUCUGAAACCCCCAGAGAAAUCAAAUAUUAAUUUAGACGAGAGCCACUGCUCAAUAUCGACUCUCCAAUCGAUGUGUGCGUGUGUGCAUGCAAGGAGAGAAAAAGAGAUGCAGGACAAACAAGAGAUUGAGUGAAGAGAAAAAGAGUCAGAGAGGAAGAAAGAGAGAAAAAGAUGAGUCCCUAGGACUCCAGCCUCAAUCACAGAAGUUUGAUCAAAGUUCUCUGUUUCAGUAUACAUUUCUGAACAGCAGGCCCGAUUCAAACAGCUCAACUGCAUGCACAGUAGGGGGGAAGACAAUCAGUGUAGCGCUCCCUUUUCAUCGAGAAAUGAUGAGAAUACAAGCUAUAGCGGCCUUCAUUCUCCUCCAGUCACAAAGCAACUGGUCUGUGAUUGCCCUGGACCCCUCGUUAGGCACCAAGAGCCUGUCCAAUCAACUCCAUCAUUCCACUACAGUGCAUGUGUGUGGGUGUUUUGUGUGUGUGAUGUCUGAAGACAGACACAAAUUGGCAAUCAGGUAACGCUAUCAUGGAUUGGACUUUCCUCAGAGGGAUCCUGACUCCAAUACCUUCUUCCUUUCCUCUCCUCCAUCUCCUCGUCGCUCCGGAGCGGCUCCAGCUCGACCCUGACAGGUUCUCCUGACAACUUAUUACCAUACAAUUACACGAGCUCUCUCUCUCUCUCUCUCUCUCUCUCUCUCUCUCAAUCACUAAAGUUUCUCACUUGUCUUAACCCUCAAUCCCUGUCUCUCCCUCUCUCUUUCUCACCCCUCCUCUUUUAUCACUAUCUCUAUCCACUUCUAUCAAUCUUUAUUGGUUCCCAUCUCCUAGGCCCAAAUAGAGCAUUAGAGUACAUGGCUCACUUUAAUCUGCAUUAGGGAAGAGAUGAGAGGGCAAUGAGGAGAGGAGGAGAGAGGAGAAGGUGAGGAGGAGAGAGGAGAAGGUGAGGAGGAGAGAGGAGAAGGUGAUGAGGAGAGGAGGAGAAGGUGAUGAGGAGAGGAGGAGAGAGGAGAAGGUGAUGAGGAGAGGAGGAGAGAGGAGAAGGUGAUGAGGAGAGGAGGAGAGAGGAGAAGUUGAUGAGGAGAGAGGAGAAGGUGAUGAGAGGAGGAGAAGGUGAUGAGAGGAGGAGAAGGUGACGAGAGGAGGAGAGAGGAGAAGGUGAGGAGGAGAGAGGAGAAGGUGAUGAGGAGAGGAGGAGAAGAUGAUGAGGAGAGGAGGAGAAGAUGAGGAGGAGAGAAGGUGAUGAGGAGAGGAGGAGAAGGUGAUGAGGAGAGGAGGAGAGAGGAGAAGGUGAUGAGGAGAGGAGGAGAGAGGAGAAGGUGAUGAGGAGAGAGGAGAAGGUGAUGAGAGGAGGAGAAGGUGAUGAGAGGAGAAGGUGAUGAGAGGAGGAGAGAGGAGAAGGUGAGGAGGAGAGAGGAGAAGGUGAUGAGGAGAGGAGAAGAUGAUGAGGAGAGGAGGAGAAGGUGAUGAGGAGAGGAGGAGAGAGGAGAAGGUGAUGAGGAGAGAGGAGAAGGUGAUGAAAGGAGGAGAGAAGAGAAGGUGAUGAGGAGAAGGUGAUGAGGAGAGGAGAAGGUGAUGAGGAGAGAGGUGAAGGAGAGGAGGAGAGAGGACAGGGUGAUGAGGAGAGAGGAGAAGGUGAUGAGGAGAGAGGAGAAGGUGAUGAGAGGAGGAGAGAGGAGAAGGUGAUGAGGAGAAGGUGAUGAGGAGAGGAGGAGAGAGGAGAAGGUGAUGAGGAGAGGAGGAGGGAGAAGGUGAUGAGGAGAGGACGAGAGAGGAGAAGGUGAUGAGGAGAGGAUGAGAGAGAGGAGAAGGUGAGGUGAUGAGGAGAGGAGAUUGUGAUGAGGAGAGGAGAAGGUGAUAAGGAGAAGAGAAGGUGAUGAGGAGGGGAGGAGAGAGGAGAAGGUGAUGAGGAGAGGAGGAGAGAGGAGAAGGUGAUGAGGAGAGGAGCAGAGAGGAGAAGGUGAUGAGUUGGAGAAGGCGAUGAGGAGAGGAGGAGAGGAGAAGGCGAUGAUGAGAGAAGGAGAGAGGAGAAGGUGAUGAGGAGAGGACGAGAGAGGAGAAGGUGAGGUGAUGAGGAGAGGAGAAGGUGACGAGGAGAGGAGAAGGUGAUGAGGAGAGGAGGAGAAGGUGAUGAGGAGAGGACGAGAGAGGAGAAGAUGAUGAGGAGAGGACGAGAGGAGAAGGUGAUGAGGAGAGGACGAGAGAGGAGAAGGUGAUGAGGAGAGGACGAUAGAGGAGAGGAGGAGAGAGGAGAAGGUGAUGAGGAGAGAGGAGAAGGUGAUGAGGAGAGGAGCAGAGAGGAUAAUGUGAUGAGGAGGAGAAGGUGAUGAGGAGAGGAGGAGAGGAGAAGGCAAUGAUGAGAGGAGGAGAGAGGAGAAGGUGAUGAGGAGAGGAGGAGAGAGGAGAAGGUGAUGAGGAGAGGACGAGAGAGGAGAAGGUGAUGAGGAGAGGAGGAGAGAGGAGAAGGUGAUGAGGAGAGGACGAGAGAGGAGAAGGCGAUGAGGAGAGGACAAGAGAGGAGAAGGUGAGGUGAUGAGGAGAGGAGAAGGUGAUGAGGAGAGGAUGAGAGAGGAGAAGGUGAUGAGGAGAGGACGAGAGAGGAGAAGGUGAGGUGAUGAGGAGAGGAGAAGGUGAUGAGGAGAGGAGGAGAGAGGAGAAGGUGAUGAGGAGAGGAGGAGAGAGAGAAGGUGAUGAGGAGAGGAGGAGAGAGGAGAAGGUGAUGAGGAGAGGAGGAGAGAGGAGAAGGUGAUGAGGAGAGGAGGAGAGAGGAGGUGAUGAGGAGAAGGUGAUGAGGAGAGGUGAGAGGAGAGAGGAGAAGGUGAUGAGGAGAGGAGGAGAGAGGAGAAGGUGAUGAGGAGAGGAGGAGAGAGGAGAAGGUGA
ensembl:lncRNA